UACGUAGGUCCCGAGCGUUGUCCGGAUUUAUUGGGCGUAAAGCGAGCGCAGGUGGUUUAUUAAGUCUGGUGUAAAAGGCAGUGGCUCAACCACUGUAUGCAUUGGAAACUGGUAGACUUGAGUGCAGGAGAGGAGAGUGGAAUUCCAUGUGUAGCGGUGAAAUGCGUAGAUAUAUGGAGGAACACCGGUGGCAAAAGCGGCUCUCUGGCCUGUAACUGACACUGAGGCUCGAAAGCGUGGGGAGCAAACAGG
rnacentral:rRNA from 1 species